rnacentral:rRNA from 1 species
UGGCUCAGAACGAACGCUGGCGGCAGGCUUAACACAUGCAAGUCGAGCGCCCCGCAAGGGGAGCGGCAGACGGGUGAGUAACGCGUGGGAAUCUACCCUUGACUACGGAAUAACGCAGGGAAACUUGUGCUAAUACCGUAUGUGUCCUUCGGGAGAAAGAUUUAUCGGUCAAGGAUGAGCCCGCGUUGGAUUAGCUAGUUGGUGGGGUAAAGGCCUACCAAGGCGACGAUCCAUAGCUGGUCUGAGAGGAUGAUCAGCCACAUUGGGACUGAAACACGGCCCAAACUCCUACGGGAGGCAGCAGUGGG